rnacentral:rRNA from 1 species
UACAGAGGUCCAAAGCGUUGUUCGGAUUCAUUGGGCGUAAAGGGUGCGUAGGCGGUCGCGCAAGUCGGAUGUGAAAUCUCGGGGCUCAACCCCGAAACUGCAUUCGAUACUGCGUGGCUCGAGUACUGGAGAGGAGACUGGAAUUUACGGUGUAGCAGUGAAAUGCGUAGAUAUCGUAAGGAAGACCAGUGGCGAAGGCGAGUCUCUGGGCAGUAACUGACGCUGAGGAGCGAAAGCGUGGGGAGCGAACAGG